AACGCGAAGAACCUUACCCAGACUUGACAUGCAUUGGACGACAGUAGAAAUAUUGUUUCCCUUCGGGGCCGGUGCACAGGUGCUGCAUGGCUGUCGUCAGCUCGUGCCGUGAGGUGUUGGGUUAAGUCCCGCAACGAGCGCAACCCUUAUCAUUAGUUGCCAACAUUUAAGGUGGGAACUCUAAUGAGACUGCCUGGGUUAACCAGGAGGAAGGUGAGGAUGACGUCAAGUCCGCAUGGCCCUUAUGUCUGGGGCUACACACGUGCUACAAUGGUCGGUACAGAAGGCAGCGAAGCCGCGAGGUGGAGCAAAUCCCAAAAGCCGAUCUCAGUUCAGAUUGUAGUCUGCAACUCGACUACAUGAAGACGGAAUUGCUAGUAAUGGCGUAUCAGCUACAACGCCGUGAAUACGUUCCUGGGCCUUGUACACACCGCUCGUC
rnacentral:rRNA from 1 species